UACGAAGGGUGCAAGCGUUACUCGGAAUUACUGGGCGUAAAGGGCGCGUAGGCGGCUUGGCAAGUGGAUGGUGAAAUCCCUCGGCUUAACCGAGGAGCUGCCGUCCAAACUGCUUCGCUUGAGACCGGGAGAGGUGAGUGGAAUUCCCAGUGUAGCGGUGAAAUGCGUAGAUAUUGGGAGGAACACCAGUGGCGAAGGCGGCUCACUGGACCGGUACUGACGCUGAUGCGCGAAAGCGUGGGGAGCGAACGGG
rnacentral:rRNA from 1 species